GCUGGGUGCGGUGGCACAUGCCUGUAAUCCCAGCCCCUCAGGAGGCUGAAACAGGAGGAUCACAAAUUUAAAGCCAGCCAGCCUCAGCAAUGGUGAGGCACUAAGCAACUCAGUGAGACCCUGUCUCUA
rnacentral:sRNA from 1 species